UACAGAGGGUGCGAGCGUUGUUCGGAAUUAUUGGGCGUAAAGGGCGCGUAGGCGGUGCGGUAAGUCACCUGUGAAAUCUCCUGGCUCAACUGGGAGCUUGCAGGCGAAACUGCCGUGCUGGAGCGUGGGAGAGGUGCGUGGAAUUCCUGGUGUAGCGGUGAAAUGCGUAGAUAUCAGGAGGAACACCUGUGGCGAAAGCGGCGCACUGGACCACAACUGACGCUGAGGCGCGAAAGCUAGGGGAGCAAACAGG
rnacentral:rRNA from 1 species